GUGGGGAAUAUUGGGCAAUGGGCGAAAGCCUGACCCAGCAACGCCGCGUGAGGGAAGAAGGUUUUCGGAUUGUAAACCUCUGUCCUUGGUGACGAACACAAUGACGGUAGCCAAGGAGGAAGCCCCGGCUAACUACGUGCCAGCAGCCGCGGUAAUACGUAGGGGGCAAGCGUUGUCCGGAAUGACUGGGCGUAAAGGGCGUGUAGGCGGCCGAUUAAGUCUGGAGUGAAAGUCCUGCUUUCAAGGUGGGAAUUGCUUUGGAGACUGGUUGGCUUGAGUGCGGAAGAGGCAAGUGGAAUUCCCAGUGUAGCGGUGAAAUGCGUAGAGAUUGGGAGGAACACCAGUGGCGAAGGCGACUUGCUGGGCCGUAACUGACGCUGAGGCGCGAAAGCGUGGGGAGCGAACAGGAUUAGAUACCCGUGUAGUCC
rnacentral:rRNA from 1 species